GGGGGGGGGCCAAUAAUGCAGUCGAACGAGUUCUCGUUGAUGAUCGGUGCUUGCACCGAGAUUCAACAUGGAACGAGUGGCGGACGGGUGAGUAACACGUGGGUAACCUGCCCUUAAGUGGGGGAUAACAUUUGGAAACAGAUGCUAAUACCGCAUAGAUCCAAGAACCGCAUGGUUCUUGGCUGAAAGAUGGCGUAAGCUAUCGCUUUUGGAUGGACCCGCGGCGUAUUAGCUAGUUGGUGAGGUAAUGGCUCACCAAGGCGAUGAUACGUAGCCGAACUGAGAGGUUGAUCGGCCACAUUGGGACUGAGACACGGCCCAAACUCCUACGGGAGGCAGCAGUAGGGAAUCUUCCACAAUGGACGCAAGUCUGAUGGAGCAACGCCGCGUGAGUGAAGAAGGCUUUCGGGUCGUAAAACUCUGUUGUUGGAGAAGAAUGGUCGGCAGAGUAACUGUUGUCGGCGUGACGGUAUCCAACCAGAAAGCCACGGCUAACUACGUGCCAGCAGCCGCGGUAAUACGUAGGUGGCAAGCGUUAUCCGGAUUUAUUGGGCGUAAAGCGAGCGCAGGCGGUUUUUUAAGUCUGAUGUGAAAGCCCUCGGCUUAACCGAGGAAGCGCAUCGGAAACUGGGAAACUUGAGUGCAGAAGAGGACAGUGGAACUCCAUGUGUAGCGGUGAAAUGCGUAGAUAUAUGGAAGAACACCAGUGGCGAAGGCGGCUGUCUGGUCUGUAACUGACGCUGAGGCUCGAAAGCAUGGGUAGCGAACAGGAUUAGAUACCCUGGUAGUCCAUGCCGUAAACGAUGAAUGCUAGGUGUUGGAGGGUUUCCGCCCUUCAGUGCCGCAGCUAACGCAUUAAGCAUUCCGCCUGGGGAGUACGACCGCAAGGUUGAAACUCAAAGGAAUUGACGGGGGCCCGCACAAGCGGUGGAGCAUGUGGUUUAAUUCGAAGCAACGCGAAGAACCUUACCAGGUCUUGACAUCUUUUGAUCACCUGAGAGAUCAGGUUUCCCCUUCGGGGGCAAAAUGACAGGUGGUGCAUGGUUGUCGUCAGCUCGUGUCGUGAGAUGUUGGGGUUAAGUCCCGCAACGAGCGCAACCCUUAUGACUAGUUGCCAGCAUUUAGUUGGGCACUCUAGUAAGACUGCCGGUGACAAACCGGAGGAAGGUGGGGAUGACGUCAAAUCAUCAUGCCCCUUAUGACCUGGGCUACACACGUGCUACAAUGGAUGGUACAACGAGUUGCGAGACCGCGAGGUCAAGCUAAUCUCUUAAAGCCAUUCUCAGUUCGGACUGUAGGCUGCAACUCGCCUACACGAAGUCGGAAUCGCUAGUAAUCGCGGAUCAGCACGCCGCGGUGAAUACGUUCCCGGGCCUUGUACACACCGCCCGUCACACCAUGAGAGUUUGUAACACCCGAAGCCGGUGGCGUAACCCUUUUAGGGAGCGAGCCGUCUAAGUGGAC
rnacentral:rRNA from 3 species